rnacentral:rRNA from 1 species
AUUGAACGCUGGCCGCAUGCCUUACACAUGCAAGUCGAACGGUAACGGGUCUUCGGAUGCUGACGAGUGGCGAACGGGUGAGUAAUACAUCGGAACGUGCCUAGUAGUGGGGGAUAACUACUCGAAAGAGUGGCUAAUACUGCAUGAGAUCUACGGAUGAAAGCAGGGGAUCGCAAGACCUUGUGCUACUAGAGCGGCCGAUGGCAGAUUAGGUAGUUGGUGGGAUAAAAGCUUGCCAAGCCGACGAUCUGUAGCUGGUCUGAGAGGACGAUCAGCCACACUGGGACUGAGACACGGCCCAGACUCCUACGGGAGGCAGCAGUGGGGAAUUUUGGACAAUGGGCGCAAGCCUGAUCCAGCAAUGCCGCGUGCAGGAUGAAGGCCUUCGGGUUGUAAACUGCUUUUGUACGGAACGAAAAGCCCUGGGUUAAUACCCUGGGGUCAUGACGGUACCGUAAGAAUAAGCACCGGCUAACUACGUGCCAGCCGCCGCCGUAA